rnacentral:rRNA from 1 species
AUUGGACGCUGGCGGCAGGCCUAACACAUGCAAGUCGAGCGGAUGAAGGGAGCUUGCUCCUGGAUUCAGCGGCGGACGGGUGAGUAAUGCCUAGGAAUCUGCCUGGUAGUGGGGGAUAACGUCCGGAAACGGGCGCUAAUACCGCAUACGUCCUGAGGGAGAAAGUGGGGGAUCUUCGGACCUCACUCUAUCAGAUGAGCCUAGGUCGGAUUAGCUAGUUGGUGGGGUAAAGGCCUACCAAGGCGACGAUCCGUAACUGGUCUGAGAGGAUGAUCAGUCACACUGGAACUGAGACACGGUCCAGACUCCUACGGGAGGCAGCAGUGGGGAAUAUUGGACAAUGGGCGAAAGCCUGAUCCAGCCAUGCCGCGUGUGUGAAGAAGGUCUUCGGAUUGUAAAGCACUUUAAGUUGGGAGGAAGGGCAGUAAGUUAAUACCUUGCUGUUUUGACGUUACCAACAGAAUAAGCACCGGCUAACUUCGUG